GAAAGAUCCACGUGGACACGGACGUGAACACGGACGUGGCCAUUUUGGAAAAUGUUUGCAUGAAACUGUUCUCCUGAAAAAAAUCAAUUUAUUUGAGUAAAAUGCCUCUUUUCGGUAGAAUUUAUGUCAUAGUAUUGAUGGAUGCUUGGUCCAGCAAAGGAAACAGUUGGCACAAACAGCUGGAUGAUCUGUGUGAAGUUUCCGUCAAGAGACACCAGACAGCUUGAGACACCUAAUCGCAAUUUCCUCAUUGCCUCCUAUUAGGAAGAACAAAUCAUUUCAACUGACAACAACGAAAAUCGACGAGACUUUGACCACGCAACAUCCAGCCCAUGCAGUCCCCGCGGCUCUUCUUGGCACGAUUUCUUCCUCAGUCUCUUAUCUGUAACUUCAUUACUUUCAUAUGUAACAUCUUUUACUAAUC